rnacentral:rRNA from 1 species
ACGGAAGGCAGCAGUGGGGGAUAUUGCACAAUGGGGGAAACCCUGAUGCAGCGACGCCGCGUGAGUGAAGAAGUAUUUCGGUAUGUAAAGCUCUUUAAGCUGGAAAGAUAAUGACGGUACCAGCAGAAUAAGCCCCGGCUAACUACGUGCCAGCAGCCGCGGUCAUACGUAGGGGGCAAGCGUUAUCCGGAUUUACUGGGUGUAAAGGGGGCGUAGACGGUAAAGCAAGUCUGAAGUGAAAUCAUAGGGCUUAACCCUGUAAUUGCUUUGGAAACUGUUUAACUAGAGUACCGGAGGGGUAAGCGGAAUUCCUGGUGUAGCGGUGAAAUGCGUAGAUAUCAGGAAGAACACCGGUGGCGAAGGCGGCCUGCUGGACGGUAACUGACGUUGAGGCUCGAAAGCGUGGGGAGCAAACAGGAUUAGAUACCCUGGUA